GCCUGGGUGGCUCAGUUGGUUAAGCGUCCGACUUUAGCUCGGGUCAUGAUCUCGCAGUCUGUGAGUUCAAGCCCCGCAUCAGGCC
rnacentral:tRNA from 1 species